AGAUCAAGUUUGAAUUUUGGUUGGGUCACUUUAACCAUUCUUGAGUUAUGCCCCUUUAUCUUUUUUAGCCAUGGCAUUGUCUCUUUGUUUUUCGACACGAGUUUAAAUGUCUCCCUGGUAUCUUCGCCCCUCUUUCACAACAAUGAAUGAUGUACUCUUGGAAACAAUGCAAACACUUGUUGUGUCAGGAGACAAUCAGAUAAAAUGAUUGCUCUGGGGGUAAAAACAGAAUUAAUCCAGAAAGAAAAUUAUGAACCAGAAAUUCCUAUGGAUGAGUGUUGAUGAAUGCAAAAACAUACAUACCAGAAGAAAAACAAGAAUGUGUCCACAGUACACAAAAGCCCCACUCGCACCAUCAUUUUCUAUGUUCUUUAAGAUUAAAGGUAUCUCAUUGUAGUCAUUUUAAAUGUAGAUAAG
rnacentral:lncRNA from 1 species